rnacentral:rRNA from 1 species
AUGUUUCCAUUCAAGUUCAAGAGGAAGCAAUUUCCUGUAAGGCUUAGCUUUGCUAUGACGAUUAACAAGGCUCAAGGACAGACGAUUCCGAUCGUUGGCGUGUACCUACCUAAUCCGGUGUUCUCUCAUGGUCAACUCUAUGUCGCAUUGUCUCGAGCCACCGCGAAGAGAAACAUAAAGAUCCUCAUUGAGAAGGAGAAAGAGAAGGAGAAUGGCAAGAAGCAAAGCAGUAAACCAAAGAAGCGAAAAAGACCUGCCUUGUCCUUACAGACCUCGAUGAAGAACAUCGUCUAUAAGGAAGUCCUUACAGGCUGA